rnacentral:lncRNA from 1 species
GAAAGAAAUCCAGUGAUAAAAGAUUGGUAUCUGAUAUUUUUCAGUUCAGUGAUGGAAGCCUAUUUAACAGUAGUGACUUUAAGGCAAUCAACUUUUGUUUCCAUGAUGCUGUUUUGA